AGAAGCAAGGUAGCAGACAAAUUUGCCACAGAGAACAGCACCAACCUUAAAACGUCACUCAGCUCAGGCGUAAAAUCAUGGGUCUCGGAGCCCUACGAUCCAUAAUUCGACCCGUAUCGCGGACUCUCUUGUCAACCCGUACAACCUUUGCUCUUGCUCCCCAACGAAUCGCGGCCAUCUUCUCUCCCUUUCCGGCAUCUGAGCUCCAUUUCCGCCACCACUUGGGCCCCUUCCACCGGAAUCUUCCAUUCAAUCCUUCAUCUUCCGCUUUCCACAGCUUACGCUUAACGGACACCCGAUACCCCAAACGACGCCCCAGUGACAAGCCUCGUCGUAAAAGAGCUCAAUUAAAACCCCAGGGCCUUAUGCUUGGGUGAAAUAUGUACCUGGAGAGCCAAUAGCUGCAAAACAACCCAAUGAAGGAAGUGUGAAGCGAAGAAAUGAGAAAAAGCGGAUUAAGCUGCACCGUGCGUUCAUACUGGCUGAAAAGAAGAAGCGUAAAGCUCAGUUACAAGAGGCCAAAAGAAAGAAAAUGAUAAAGAGGGUGGAGCGGAAAAUGGCUGCAGUAGCAAGGGAAAGAGCAUGGGCACAAAGGUUGGUAGAGCUUCAGCAGAUUGAGGAAGAGAAGAAGGCAGCAAUGGCUUGACAUUUUUUGGUUGCAAUUCUAGCAUUUUGUAGUUUUUGUGCCGGGAAGAAGAUAAAAGUUGAAAUUGCUUUUAUCAGUGUAAGCUUUACUUUACAUACUACCUACUCUAGUUGUGGUUCAUGACUCCUUUAUUUUGACAUCUGUUGUCCUUUUCUUUCUUUUUACCCUUGUUUUGGAUUUUCAACAGCUAGUACAAGCUCUUAUUCAUAAUUCAAAGAGCAUGUUGCUCGUCAUCUCCAGUGAUCUUCCUGCAAGUGUAUUAAAAAAUUCUGUAAAAAUCUAUUGUCUUCGUCAUUUUAUAAAUUGUUGUUCCCUAAAAAA